GCCCGCGUCGCCUAAUGGAACAGGGCGCUCGACUUCGGAUCGAGUCUGUGGGGGUUCGAGUCCUCUCGCGGGUACCA
rnacentral:tRNA from 1 species